UGGGGAAUAUUGGACAAUGGGCGAAAGCCUGAUCCAGCCAUGCCGCGUGUGUGAAGAAGGUCUUCGGAUUGUAAAGCACUUUAAGUUGGGAGGAAGGGCAGUAAGCGAAUACCUUGCUGUUUUGACGUUACCGACAGAAUAAGCACCGGCUAACUCUGUGCCAGCAGCCGCGGUAAUACAGAGGGUGCAAGCGUUAAUCGGAAUUACUGGGCGUAAAGCGCGCGUAGGUGGUUCGUUAAGUUGAAUGUGAAAGCCCCGGGCUCAACCUGGGAACUGCAUCCGAAACUGGCGAGCUAGAGGAAGGCAGAGGGUGGUGGAAUUUCCUGUGUAGCGGUGAAAUGCGUAGAUAUAGGAAGGAACACCAGUGGCGAAGGCGACCACCUGGGCUCAUACUGACACUGAGGUGCGAAAGCGUGGGGAGCAAACAGG
rnacentral:rRNA from 1 species